rnacentral:rRNA from 1 species
GUGCCAGCAGCCGCGGUAAUUCCAGCUCCAAUAGCGUAUAUUAAAGUUGUUGUGGUUAAAAAGCUCGUAGUUGAACCUUGGGCCUGGCUGGCCGGUCCGCCUCACCGCGUGCACUGGUCCGGCCGGGCCUUUCCCUCUGUGGAACCCCAUACCCUUCACUGGGCGAGGCGGGGAAACAGGACAUUUACUUUGAAAAAAUUAGAGUGCUCCAGGCAGGCCUAUGCUCGAAUACAUUAGCAUGGAAUAAUAAAAUAGGACGCGCGGUUCUAUUUUGUUGGUUUAUAGGACCGCCGUAAUGGUUAAUAGGGACAGUCGGGGGCAUCAGUAUUCAACUGUCAGAGGUGAAAUUCUUGGAUCAGUUGAAGACUAACUACUGCGAAAGCAUUUGCCAAGGAUGUUUUCAUUAAUCAGGAACGAAAGUUAGGGGAUCGAAGACGAUCAGAUACCGUCGUAGUCUUAACCAUAAACUAUGCCGACUAGGGAUCGGACGGUGUUAUUCAUGACCCGUUCGGCACCUUACGAGAAAUCAAAGUGCUUGGGCUCCAGGGGGAGUAUGGUCGCAAGGCUGAAACUUAAAGAAAUUGACGGAAGGGCACCACCAGGGGUGGAGCCUGCGCUUUAUUUGACUCAACACGGGAAACUCACCAGGUCCAGACACAAUAAGGAUUGACAGAUUGAGAGCUCUUUCUUGAUUUUGUGGGUGGUGCUGCAUGGCCGUUCUUAGUGGUGGGUGACUUGUCUGCUUAAUUGCGAUAACGACGAGACCUUAACCUGCUAAAUAGGCCCGCAUUGCUCGGC